rnacentral:rRNA from 1 species
GACGAACGCUGGCGGCGUGCCUAAUACAUGCAAGUUGAGCGCUGAAGGUUGGUACUUGUACCAACUGGAUGAGCAGCGAACGGGUGAGUAACGCGUGGGGAAUCUGCCUUUGAGCGGGGGACAACAUCUGGAAACGAAUGCUAAUACCGCAUAAAAACUUUAAACACAAGUUUUAAGUUUGAAAGAUGCAAUUGCAUCACUCAAAGAUGAUCCCGCGUUGUAUUAGCUAGUUGGUGAGGUAAAGGCUCACCAAGGCGAUGAUACAUAGCCGACCUGAGAGGGUGAUCGGCCACAAUGGGACUGAGACACGGCCCAAACUCCUACGGGAGGCAGCAGUAGGGGAACUUCGGCAAUGGACGAAAGUCUGACCGAGCAACGCCGCGUGGGGGAAGAAGGUUUUCGGAUCGUAAAACUCUGUUGGUAGAGAAGAACGUUGGUGGGAGGGGAAAGCUCAUCAAGUGACGGUAACUACCCAGAAAGGGACGGCUAACUACGUG